GCGGAGGAAAAGAAACUAACAAGGAUUCCCCUAGUAACGGCGAGUGAACCGGGAAGAGCUCAAAUUUGAAAUCUGGCGUGCUCAGUGCGUCCGAGUUGUAAUCUAUAGAGUCGUUUUCCGUGCCGGACUGUGUCCAAGUCCCUUGGAACAGGGUAUCAAAGAGGGUGAUAAUCCCGUACUUGACACAAUGACCGGUGCUCUGUGAUACGUCUUCUACGAGUCGAGUUGUUUGGGAAUGCAGCUCAAAAUGGGUGGUGAGUUCCAUCUAAAGCUAAAUAUUGGCGAGAGACCGAUAGCGAACAAGUACCGUGAGGGAAAGAUGAAAAGCACUUUGGAAAGAGAGUUAAACAGUACGUGAAAUUGUUAAAAGGGAAACGAUUGAAGUCAGUCGUGACUGAGAGGCUCAGCCGGUUCUGCCGGUGUAUUCCCCUCAGUCGGGUCAACAUCAGUUUUGUUCGGUGGAUAAGGGCGGUUGGAAGGUGGCACCCUCGGGUGUGUUAUAGCCAACUGUCGCAUACAUCGGAUGAGACUGAGGAAUGCAGCUCGCCUUUAUGGCCGGGGUUCGCCCACGUUCGAGCUUAGGAUGUUGACAUAAUGGCUUUAAACGACCCGUCUU
rnacentral:rRNA from 1 species